rnacentral:rRNA from 1 species
GACGAACGCUGGCGGCGUGCUUAACACAUGCAAGUCGAACGAAGUGGCGAACGGGUGAGUAACGCGUAAUCAACCUGCCCUUCAGAAGGGGACAACAGUUGGAAACGACUGCUAAUCCCGCAUACUGCAGGAUGGGAUUGCGUCUGAUGAGCUAGUGGGGGGGGUAACGGCCCAACAUGGCGAGGAUCAGUCGGCGGGCGUGGAGGAUUAACCGGCACAUGUUGACUGAGACACCGGCCAGGCUCCUACGGGAGGCAUGAGUGGGGAAUCAUCCGCCAUGGACGAAAGGCUGACGGAGCAAAGCCGCGGGAGUGAUGACAGCCUUCGGGUUGGAAAGCUCUGUGAAGCGGGACGCGGUACCGGAAUAGAAAGCCACGGCUAACUACGUGCCAGCCGCCGCGGUAAUUC